rnacentral:lncRNA from 1 species
GACCGGGAAGCUCAUCGACAAGAUCAACCUCCCGGAUUUCCUCAAAGUUUACCUUAACCAUAGGCCACCUUUCGGCAACACUAUGGACGGCAUCCAGAACAGCUUCAACGUGCUGGGUUACACCAAUUCGGAAGGGAAAAAGGCCAUUCGGAGAGAGGAUUUCCUGAACUUACUCCUCACCAAAGGGGAGCACAUGACAGAAGAAGAGAUGAUCGACUGUUUCUCGACUCUGUUUGGCCUGACUCCGGAGGGGUGGAAAUCGGAGCCUGCAGCCAC